GCGGCCGUGGGCGACGCUGGCACACAGCCACCGGGCCUCAUAUGCGCGGACACCCGAUGGUUCGAUUCCAACCGGCUGCA
rnacentral:tRNA from 1 species